rnacentral:lncRNA from 1 species
AACAAAAAGAGAGAGAGAUAAAGAAAAAGAAAAUGAACAUUAUUCAAAGGAAGUAAAAGCUAAGUAAAAGCAAAUACUCCAAUCUUAAGGAAAAGUAAAACAAGCAUAAUAUAUUCGGCACAUUUGUGAGACUUGUGUGAGCAUUCUUUUGGAAGGAAUAAAAUCCGUAAUUAAUUACAUUUAAACAGGGGAAGUUUGAAGUGAACAUUUUAACCUUUCUAUAUUGCUCAUCACAGGGAUGGUGCCAAUGGGGAGGCUAGUGGUAGUACCCGGUACUAUUUGACCCAACUAUUCGGUGUAGGGUAUAUUAGGGACGGCACAAGAGGGAGGCUAGUGGUAGUACCUCGUGCCCCUUCCAACUCCACCGGAUAGAGAGCAAAUAGAGUAUAGAGCAUAGAAAAGUAAAACCAAAAGAAAUGAAAAUCGUUCAUUGAGUGGUUAAAGAAAGAAAUUAAAAAAAAAUUGGGGAAUGAAUGAUAAUAAAUGAAAAUAUAUAAGAAGGUUGUGAAAAAGCAAAUGAAGUUUCAAUCACUUGAAAACACACCUUAAGGAUAAAAUCAGUGCUAAAUUAUAUAAAUAGGGAGAGUUUAUUUGAAAAGAAUUAAUUUUAAUCGUUGACAUACUUGUUCUUAAUGCUUUAAUGGUAUGCAUACUAUAUUUCACAUGUAACAUGAUGUUUUGAAUUGUGAGUUUUCAAAAUUAAAAAAAAAGGGAGGAUUUUGUUCAAAUAUAAUUUGUAAUGCUCUAUGCCUAGAUAAUUUGAUUGAAACAUGUUUCUAUCAACAACAUCAUUUUGUUUUAGUGAAUAUCUUUUGAAAAAUAAAAGAUAAGAACAAUCUAAAUUUGCAAAUUAGGCAGAAUGAAUUAAUUCAGAUUUAUCUUUCAUUUUGCCUAACAUUGGUACAUAAUGUUCUGAUACAUGUUAAAAUAUCCUCCAAUUUGUACCAAAACUCAAUAUUAAAAAUAAAGAUUCUGAAUGUGCUCUGAUGUGCUUGAAAUAUGUAUUUUCAGUCUUAAUAACUUAAGAUGAGCUACAAUGUAGAAGAUACAUAUCUCAAAUUAUGAAUUUUGAAAGCCUUCUUGAAAAUUCUUAUGAAAUUCAGAAUAUGACCUAGUAUAAAAGUUUAAACUCCAUAUAAAAUGCUUAUAUCUUUACAUUUUUGUAAUUUUCAUUAUAUGCUUCAAUGAUUGCAUCAUCUUGGGAAAUAACUCAAUAUGAUUUCUAGAUGAAAACUGCGGUUUAAGAAAAAUAGAAUUACUUUGGAU